UACGGGGGGAGCAAGCGUUGUUCGGAUUUACUGGGCGUAAAGGGCGUGUAGGCGGCCACCGCAAGUCGGUUGUGAAAUCUCCGGGCUUAACCCGGAAAGGUCAACCGAUACUGCGGGGCUAGAGUGCAGAAGGGGCAACUGGAAUUCUCGGGUGUAGCGGUGAAAUGCGUAGAUAUCAAGAGGAACACCUGAGGUGAAGACGGGUUGCUGGGCUGAUACUGACGCUGAGGCGCGAAAGCUAGGGUAGCAAACGGG
rnacentral:rRNA from 1 species